rnacentral:rRNA from 1 species
AGAGCGAACGCUGGCGGCAGGCCUAAUACAUGCAAGUCGAACGGAUCCUUCGGGAUUAGUGGCGGACGGGUGAGUAACACGUGGGAACGUACCCUUUGGUUCGGAACAACUCAGGGAAACUUGAGCUAAUACCGAAUGUGCCCUUCGGGGAAAAGAUUUAUCGCCAUUGGAGCGGCCCGCGUCUGAUUAGCUAGUUGGUAGGGUAAAGGCCUACCAAGGCUACGAUCAGUAGCUGGUCUGAGAGGAUGAUCAGCCACACUGGGACUGAGACACGGCCCAGACUCCUACGGGAGGCAGCAGUAGGGAAUAUUGGACAAUGGGGGAAACCCUGAUCCAGCGACGCCGCGUGUGUGAAGAAGGCCUGCGGGUUGUAAAGCACUUUUAGUGGGGACAAAAAAGUCACGGGCGAAUACUCCGUGAUCUUGAUUUAACUCACAGAAAAAGCACCGGCUAACUCUGCGCCAGCAGCCGC